rnacentral:rRNA from 1 species
AUUGAGCGCUGGCGGCAGGCCUAACACAUGCAAGUCGAGCGGAUGAAGGGAGCUUGCUCCUGGAUUCAGCGGCGGACGGGUGAGUAAUGCCUAGGAAUCUGCCUGGUAGUGGGGGAUAACGUCCGGGAACGGGCGCUAAUACCGCAUACGUCCUGAGGGAGAAAGUGGGGGAUCUUCGGACCUCACGCUAUCAGAUGAGCCUAGGUCGGAUUAGCUAGUUGGUGGGGUAAAGGCCUACCAAGGCGACGAUCCGUAACUGGUCUGAGAGGAUGAUCAGUCACACUGGAACUGAGACACGGUCCAGACUCCUACGGGAGGCAGCAGUGGGGAAUAUUGGACAAUGGGCGAAAGCCUGAUCCAGCCAUGCCGCGUAUGUGAAGAAGGUCUUCGGAUUGUAAAGCACUUUAAGUUGGGAGGAAGGGCAGUAAGUUAAUACCUUGCUGUUUUGACGUUACCAACAGAAUAAGCACCGGCUAACUUCGUG